rnacentral:rRNA from 1 species
CCUACGGGUGGCAGCAGUGAGGAAUAUUGGUCAAUGGACGAGAGUCUGAACCAGCCAAGUAGCGUGAAGGAUGACUGCCCUAUGGGUUGUAAACUUCUUUUAUAUGGGAAUAAACUGUUCCACGUGUGGGAUUUUGUAUGUACCAUAUGAAUAAGGAUCGGCUAAUUCGGUGCCAGCAGCCGCGGUAAUACGGAGGAUCCGAGCGUUAUCCGGAUUUAUUGGGUUUAAAGGGAGCGUAGGUGGAUUGUUAAGUCAGUUGUGAAAGUUUGCGGCUCAACCGUAAAAUUGCAGUUGAAACUGGCAGUCUGGAGUGCAGUAGAGGUGGGCGGAAUUCGUGGUGUAGCGGUGAAAUGCUUAGAUAUCACGAAGAACUCCGAUUGCGAAGGCAGCUCACUGGACUGCAACUGACACUGAGGCUCGAAAGUGUGGGUAUCAAACAGGAUUAGAUACCCCUGUAGUC